UGGAUCAAGGAGGAAAGCUGAUUCUAUUCGAAAUAUGACCAAAAAGGGUUGUGAGUGAUUGGGACUGUAGUACUGUCAACAUUUCAAGUGAAAGGCUUAGAGUUUUAUCUUUAGGGAAAUGUAUUCGUAAAAUUAGCUUGUUGGCCAUGAAGUUUUAAAAGGAGUGGAUGCAUGUUGUCGAGAUACGUUGAGGAUGACAGCUGCCUCCAAGUUCUUCUUGGCUUCCUCGCGGCCUAUCCAGGGGAUCCGGGAACCAAAUCUCCUCCAUCAUCGUGUUAGUUGUUUGACACACUUUCUCACAGAAAUAAAAAGGGGAUACUGAGACCAAACCGGCCUACUGAUCCAUACAGACUAGCCCUACACAAGACAAUGUCUGUCACAUUGGUGCCAUGACCGAGUUGGACCUUCGCCCAACCGGGAUCUUUCUGGACAUCAUCUGCGUUGUGAUAAUCAACAAAGCCUGACUGCCCACAGCACCUGGAUCAGAGAGCCAGUCCAAUGAAAUCUGUCAAGAAAACCGCAGAUAAACAAGGCCUGUAUCAUCAUUGUAAUCUAGUACUACACUUUUAUUAUACACGAAGACAGAACAUGACAUGCUUGUAUCAUUGCAAAAAAAAAAAAAAACUAACUAUACAAUCAGUCAAGCACAGACGCACUCACUUACUAUACAACUCACCACACACGUUAUCCAUUACAAUGUGUUCAUUCAGCUCUAACAUACCCACAUUUUUAAUUUAAAAAACCCUCAAAUCUGAAUAACCUGA